AUGAAAUUCAAUUCCACAAAAGAGGCUUGGAAAUUUUGGACAUGUUAUGGAGGUCAUAUUGGUUUUGAUGUAAGGAUAAAUUAUGAAAACAAGAGCAAACUCGAUGGAGUAAUCACCUCAGCAAGAUAUGUUUGUUCCAAUGAGGGCUACAGAAGAAAAGACAAAAGGGGUAAUAAUACAAAGCGUCCUCGUGCAGAAACAAGGACCGACUGCAAUGUUCGAAUGGGAAUUACUAUAGACCGAGAAGCACGAAAUUAUGAGGUGCAUGAGUUAGUUGUUGAACACAACCAUGUCUUGCAAUUACCUGGGACAAGCCACUUGAUGCCAUCACAGAGGAAGAUUUCAGCCUUGCAAGCAUUUGAAAUUGAAACAACAGAUGAUUCAGGAAUUGUACCUAGAAAAUCCCAUGAGUUAGCAAGUCGACAAGUUGGUGGUCCACUGAACCUUGGCUACACAUGUCGUGAUCGAUGA
rnacentral:rRNA from 1 species